rnacentral:rRNA from 1 species
GAUGAACGCUGGCGGCGUGCCUAAUACAUGCAAGUCGAGCGAACAGACGAGGAGCUUGCUCCUCUGACGUUAGCGGCGGACGGGUGAGUAACACGUGGAUAACCUACCUAUAAGACUGGGAUAACUUCGGGAAACCGGAGCUAAUACCGGAUAAUAUAUUGAACCGCAUGGUUCAAUAGUGAAAGACGGUUUUGCUGUCACUUAUAGAUGGAUCCGCGCUGCAUUAGCUAGUUGGUAAGGUAACAGCUUACCAAGGCAACGAUGCGUAGCCGACCUGAGAGGGUGAUCGGCCACACUGGAACUGAGACACGGUCCAGACUCCUACGGGAGGCAGCAGUAGGGAAUCUUCCGCAAUGGGCGAAAGCCUGACGGAGCAACGCCGCGUGAGUGAUGAAGGUCUUCGGAUCGUAAAACUCUGUUAUUAGGGAAGAACAAAUGUGUAAGUAACUAUGCACGUCUUGACGGUACCUAAUCAGAAAGCCACGGCUAACUACGUG